UACGGGGGGGGCAAGCGUUGUUCGGAAUUACUGGGCGUAAAGGGCUCGUAGGCGGCCAACUAAGUCGGAUGUGAAAUCCCCAGGCUUAACCUGGGAAUUGCAUCCGAUACUGGAUGGCUUGAAUCCGGGAGAGGGAUGCGGAAUUCCAGGUGUAGCGGUGAAAUGCGUAGAUAUGCGGAGGAACACCGAUGGCGAAGGCAAUCCCCUGGGCCUGCACUGACGCUCAUGCACGAAAGCGUGGGGAGCAAACAGG
rnacentral:rRNA from 1 species